rnacentral:rRNA from 1 species
UACGGAGGGGGCGAGCGUUAUUCGGAAUUAUUGGGCGUAAAGGGCGCGUAGGCGGCUUGACAAGUCAAAGGUGAAAUCCCUCGGCUCAACUGAGGAACUGCCUUUGAAACUGUCUGGCUUGAGGCCGGGAGGGGGUAGCGGAAUUCCCAGUGUAGAGGUGAAAUUCGUAGAUAUCGGGAGGAAUACCAGUGGCGAAGGCGGCGACCUGGGCCAAUACUGACGCUGAGGUGCGAAAGCGUGGGGAGCAAACAGG